rnacentral:lncRNA from 1 species
GCAUUUGUUUACUAUUAUCAUAGUCCAUACAUCACAUUCACACAUGUAUAGGAUUCCAACAAACAUGUCUCAUAUGGUUCUAUAUCAAUCAUUAUGUUCAUCUACGUUAGAAGCAUAAUAUUGAAUUUCAACCAUUAUACACAUAUCAACUACCCUAUCAUGCAUGAAUGACUGUAAGGUACCGGACUUCUAAAAUUAUGAAGUUACAGUGUACAUUUGGUUGGAAAGCCAUUUGAAUGGUUCUGAUGAGGAUGCGGUGGAAUGUAAUAUACCGGAUUUUAAAUAUAAAAAUAGAAAUAAAUAAAAAUAGUAUGAGAUACUAUUUUUAUUGGAUUUAGAGAGGUGAAAAAUAUAGGUUGGGAAUGACUUGUGCUGAAAUCGGAGCGAAAACAGAAGAUUUAGAAUUUUCUGUGAGAAACGGGGCAGAUAAAUUAGUAGAAAAUGCACAGUGUCAGAAAAUUAUAAAACUGGAGGAUAUGUCAGAAUUAUUUUUAUGAGGCUAUAUUUCAAGUUUCAUAUCAUUCUGACACCCGGAAUGUGGAAAAUAAAAUCCGACAGCUAUCUGAUAAAGAUUAUAGUUCGAUACAGUUUUCGGUGACCAAAUGGGGUCGAAACUGAAAUAUUAAAAUUUUUUUAGACUCGUUGAGUAAAGCCAAACAUGACUGUCAAAUUUCAGCUCAACCGGAUAUUCAGGGAGCUCCGGCGAAAGAUAUCAGAUUUCGAACUGUUCGGAAGUGAAUAGUAUUUUGGGGUGUAAUGUAUAAAGAGCUUUUUGCUUCUUCUUCCUCAACCGACCACACCACCCCACAACACACGCACGCAUGGGAAGGGAGAGAGAAACUCUCCUUUCUCUCUCUAAAGAUCUCUCUCAUCUCUCCAAAUCUCUCACUUAAAUUCGCGGCGUUGGUGGAGAAGAUGCUUGCGAACGCAUUGGAGGCGACGGAUCGAGCUUUCGUGCGCCCGUUGGAGCGGCGUGUCUUCGUCGCGGCGUUCACAUUAUGAUAAGCUUUUGGGAUUUGGCUUAAUCCUUCACAUUAAAUGUUCUAAUAGCCUCUAAUGAGCUUUGUUAGCAUGUUGAUCCAUUUAAUUUGGAUUAUUUGGAGGUUAAUUCAUGUUAGGCUUAGAAAAUGAGAUUUUGUAAAAUAUAAGGGUUUGAUCUAAUUUGACCCUCCGUAAACCUAAUUGCUACGUAAAUGAACGCGUUGGCGAAGUCGGUUCGGCGAUUCGUCGAGCCUACGCGAAGUUAUUAAAGAAAUAGACGUUUAGGCUUCGUUUCCACCUGGAGGGCCGAGGCGACAUCGUAAAAUCAUGAAAAUGGAUUUGGAGCACCGUGGCACAAAAUCGAAGACCUACAAUUUUCGGAGCCGCGAUUCGACGCACGGUUGGUGAGUAUUAGCAAAAUCGGGCCGAACCGGACACGGGUGCCGCGGGAGGCCGAUUGCAAGUGUCGACAAGCAAUCGGAAAGCGAUUUGAGGUGGGUUGUGCUUACCGAAGCGACUAGGUCGCCCUUUAUGUCUAAGAAACAUACAAAUUCACAUUGAUGCAUAUAGUUGUAUUGGUAGGCUUACAUGAUAAUAUGAAUGCUUG